UGUCCCCUCCAUCACAGUGACGCAUCUCUCUUUUCCUCCGCAGUGUAUUUUCAGGUAUAAAGUCAGUAAAUAUCCCAAGGAAACACAGCAUUGGUGGUACAGAUCAACUGAAAAUCACACGCAGACGCAGUAUUCAAGCCUUUGUCAUCGUGGGGACUCCCUGAUCCAGACACCGUGCUAGACCAUUGGAGACAGAACUGUUAUGGAUCCUGGUCGCGUGCGUUGCUGCCUGAGAAGAAAAUCUCUGGAUAAACCGAGCAGACUCUGCUGUUGUCUCCCAGGCUCCGUUGCCAUCUUGCCAGUCUCUGCUGCCAUCAAGGAUGAAGCGUAAAGCUGCAGCAGACAGCCAUCUGCAUCCACAUG